rnacentral:SRP_RNA from 1 species
UCCAGGCACAGUGACACAUACCUGUAGUCCCAGCUACUCGGGAGCCUGAGACAGGAGGAUGGCUUGAGUCCAUGAGUUCUGAGCUGUAGUGUGCUCUGCUGAUCGUGUGUCCACAUUAAGUUUGUAACAAUAUGGUGACCUCCCAGGAGCCAGGUUGCCUAAGGAGGGAUGAACCAGCUCAGGUCAGAAAUGGAGCAAGCCAAAACUCCCAUGCUGAUCAGAAUGUUAAAUGUCUCCAUUAGAAGUUAUUAAGUCCAUAUCAUGAGUUCACAUUUCAUUUCACAAU